rnacentral:rRNA from 1 species
GGACCCGACCGCUAUCGGGGUAGGGCUAAGCCAUGGGAGUCGAACGCCCCGCCGCUGCGGGGCGUGGCGCACGGCUGAGUAACACGUGGCUAACCUACCCUCGGGAGGGGGAUAACCUCCGGAAACUGGGGCUAAUCCCCCAUAGGCGGGGGGGCCUGGAAGGGUCCUCCGCCGAAAGGGGGCGUGGGGGGUUAUCGCCCGCGCCCCGCCCGAGGAUGGGGCUGCGGCCUAUCAGGUAGUUGGCGGGGUAAUGGCCCGCCAAGCCUAAGACGGGUAGGGGCCGUGAGAGCGGGAGCCCCCAGAUGGGCACUGAGACAAGGGCCCAGGCCCUACGGGGCGCACCAGGCGCGAAAACUCCGCAAUGCGGGCAACCGUGACGGGGCUACCCCGAGUGCCCCCUUGUGGGGGCUUUUCCCCGCUGUAAGAAGGCGGGGGAAUAAGCGGGGGGCAAGUCUGGUGUCAGCCGCCGCGGUAAUACCAGCCCCGCGAGUGGUCGGGGUGAUUAUUGGGCCUAAAGCGGCCGUAGCCGGCCCGGCAAGUCCCCCCUGAAAGCCUCGGGCUCAACCCGAGGAGCGGGGGGAUACUGCCGGGCUAGGGGGCGGGAGAGGCCGAGGGUACUCCCGGGGUAGGGGCGAAAUCCUAUAAUCCCGGGAGGACCACCAGUGGCGAAGGCGCUCGGCUGGAACGCGCCCGACGGUGAGGGCCGAAAGCCGGGGGAGCGAACCGGAUUAAAUACCCGGGUAAKUCGCUGNAAACGAUGCGGGCUAGGUGUUGGGCGGGCGAGAGAGCCCGCCCAGUGCCGCAGGGAAGCCGUUAAGCCCGCCGCCUGGGGAGUACGGCCGCAAGGCUGAAACUUAAAGGAAUUGGCGGGGGAGCACACAAGGGGUGGAGCCUGCGGCUUAAUUGGAGUCAACGCCGGGAAUCUUACCGGGGGCGACAGCAGGAUGACGGCCAGGUUGAAGGCCUUGCCCGACGCGCUGAGGGGAGGUGCAUGGCCGUCGCCAGCUCGUGCCGUGAGGUGUCCUGUUAAGUCAGGCAACGAGCGAGACCCCCACCCCCAGUUGCUACCCCGGGGGCGACCCCGGGGGCACUCUGGGGGGACUGCCGCCGCUAAGGCGGAGGAAGGAGGGGGCCACGGCAGGUCAGCAUGCCCCUAAUCCCCCGGGCUGCACGCGGGCUACAAUGGCGGGGACAGCGGGUGCCGACCCCGUGAGGGGGAGGCAAUCCCUCAAACCCCGCCGCAGUUGGGAUCGAGGGCUGAAACUCGCCCUCGUGAACGCGGAAUCCCUAGUAACCGCGCGUCAGCAUCGCGCGGUGAAUACGUCCCUGCUCCUUGCACACACCGCCCGUC